CCGGGGUGGGGGCUGCCUAGGCGUAUUUGUGGUAUUGACCACGUUCUUGUUUUUGUUUGUGACCAGGCCAGAUUACAGAGGGGUAUUGAUUUGCCUUGCCCCCGCCCCCACCAUCACAGUGUGUCCCUGUCCAGUGUUGGUGCUGUGUGGCAUUGGCUUGUGUCCAUAGGAGUCCAUCAAGGCAGAGCGGCAGAGUGGGAAGGCAGUUCAACCCAAUGGAAAUGGAUUGAAAGAGUGAAAGUCACUGGUCUCAAAGAAUCUACGGAAUUUAGCAUUUUGAAAAUCACAUAGCAAUUUUGGGUAGGUAUUCACCUGCACUAAAAAACCAGGCAAACAUCCGACUCCCAGGAUAAAGUGACUGAGAGCAGUAGAAGACUUGUUGAGCCUUAAGGAAUAAGAGGAAAAUUACGUUAUGAAGUGCAGGAACAGCACAGACCCAGACGAGGGGACGCAGCCCGGAGCCAGUAACCCGGCGCCACCUCCUCCCCAGGGCGCAGCGCUGGCUGAUCCCCAGAUACCGUGAUCACACGUCCCGGGUCCUGAGAGCGCCUCAUAGGUAGACAGUUCUUUGGGACUUCUGGGAUGCAGCACUUGAAGAGAGGUUUACCUAAACUUUCCUCCUGGGAGCCUGUGAUCAUUUGAAAGUAACAGAAGAAAGUUGUCAGGCUGAGGAAAGUUUCAACAGGCACUUGGUGAGAAUGGGAAGCAUCCAUUCAUUGUGAAAUCGCGGGGACAGAGGAGGAAUUCACGGGAUCAGAGCACUGAGAAACUCCAGAGGCUUCUGGUUCACCGCCCUGAUUCCACAGAUGUGGGUCAGAGGCAGAGAUGGAAGUUGGAAUGGACAAGCCUGCCCUCUCCUUGGCUCUCCAUGGCUCUGUCCUCAGGCUGUUUCUGCAAUUUGACAUGAG
rnacentral:lncRNA from 10 species